GCCUACUGUUUAAUUUUGAAAGUUCUUUACGAACUUUAUAUAUGGGGGUGUAGCUCAGUUGGGAGAGCACUUGCCUUGCAAGCAAGGGGUCAGGAGUUCGACUCUCCUCAUCUCCACCAUUUAAGAGUAUAUUACUUAAAUCUUUGAUUUACUUAGUAGCCUCUUACAAUGCACUUAUAGCUUAAAUUUAUACAGGCUUUGUGCGUUAGCACUUUAAGCAACGGAAUUUAUUCGUUGGCGCCGUGCUUUAGCACUUUGAAAACUGCAUAUAUAUUUAGUGAUAUGACAUCUAAUUUGUAAUAUAUAAAGCUGAUAACUUUUUAAAAUUAUCGAAGUUGAUAGCUUCUAAUCUAUCAAACCUUUUUAACUGGUCAA
rnacentral:tRNA from 1 species